rnacentral:rRNA from 1 species
UGGGGAAUAUUGCACAAUGGGCGCAAGCCUGAUGCAGCCAUGCCGCGUGUGUGAAGAAGGCCUUCGGGUUGUAAAGCACUUUCAGCGGGGAGGAAGGCGAUAAGGUUAAUAACCUUGUUGAUUGACGUUACCCGCAGAAGAAGCACCGGCUAACUCCGUGCCAGCAGCCGCGGUAAUACGGAGGGUGCAAGCGUUAAUCGGAAUUACUGGGCGUAAAGCGCACGCAGGCGGUCUGUCAAGUCGGAUGUGAAAUCCCCGGGCUUAACCUGGGAACUGCAUUCGAAACUGGCAGGCUAGAGUCUUGUAGAGGGGGGUAGAAUUCCAGGUGUAGCGGUGAAAUGCGUAGAGAUCUGGAGGAAUACCGGUGGCGAAGGCGGCCCCCUGGACAAAGACUGACGCUCAGGUGCGAAAGCGUGGGGAGCAAACAGG